ensembl:lncRNA
CAGCAGUAACUCAGCAUUAUUCCAGCAUCAAUGUCAGAGUUGGAGAUGACGCUACUUUACCUUGUGAAGAUGUCAAAGAUUAUCAGGAUAAAUGUCACAGUACUACCUGGACCUUUGAUUACUUCCCAACUGAACCAGCAGUUACACUGUUUGAAUAUGGACAGAUUCACGCUGCAGCUAAAUCAUACAGACUGAGUGUUACAGAGAAAUGUUCUCUGGUUAUAAAGAAGGUCACAGAUGAGGAUGUUGGUCGCUACACCUGCAGACAGUUUGAUGAAGGACAAACAGUUACAGACUCUCAGGUUGAUCUGACUGUUAUUAAAAGAGACAACGUAGCAACAACAACAACAACUAAAUUACCAACAACAACAACCAAAAGAACAACUAAAGCAACAACCAGACCAACAACAAUCAAAGCAACAACUAAAGCAACCAAAGCAACAACCAGACCAACAACUAAAGCAACCAAAGCAACAACCAGACCAACAACAACUAAAGCAACCAAAGCAACCUCCAGACCACCAACAACUAAAGUAACCAAAGCAACCUCCAGACCAACAACAACAACAGACCCAGCAGCAGGAGAAACAAGCCUAAAUGCAGAUCUCCUGAAGGUGCUGAUCCCUGUAGCUGUUGUUUCAGCAGCACUCUUGAUCAUCAUUGUGGCAGUCAUCAGAUGGAAGGGAGCUAAAGGGAACAACACCCAGUUGGACGACAACACUGCUGAUCCUCCAGAUGGUGUUUCCUACGCCUCCAUCCGCUACAAGAAGAAGACCAAGAGUAAAGUCCGGGUUCAGGGUGAAGAUGAUAUGGUGACCUACAGCACUCUCAACACUUCCACUGGGAUCAGCCUCCACUGAUCCCAGGAAGCUCUACACCUCCAUCAACAAGACCAACACAUGAGAGGCCACAGUGUAGCUACAUCUCUCUCUCUUCAAGUUUCUGAUUACUUCUGGUUAGAAGUGAGCUGGUGUAUAUUUAGCUCUCCAUGUCACAUGGUUCAUUGACUCUGCUCUUGAUGUAAACAUUCCAGAUUGGACACAUCUUUAUUUUUGUAUCCCUGAUCUUGUUGUUAACCCGUUCCCUUCCAGUUGAGGUUUAUUUGUGGGAGGGUUUUCUUUGCAUCUCAAAACGUAUUUAAAAAAAAGUUGUAAUUUAUCUUGAUAAUGUGUUAUUGGUAUUCUGGCAUACAGUGGGCUUACCAACACUGAGCUUCUUACUAUGAUACUGCUGUAAAUUUUAAAUACAAUAUAACAAUGUUUAGUCCUCAUUUUUUGAUUAAUUGUAUGAAUACUUUAUUAACUGCUGUAAAACCUUGUUGUCCAAAAGGUGGUGAAGUAGAUUCAGGGUGUCAGACUCUCAAAAGUAGAGUCAUGUGGCUGAUUGCUGUAUGGAAAACAUAUUAUUAUUGUAUAUAUUAUUACAGUGCAUUUUCCAAAAUAAACUUACUUUCAGUAGUUUAACUCUUCUAAAUUUUUUUCUUCUUCUUAUAAUUAUACUCUUUUUAAAUGUAUAUCUGUUAUUGUUUAACAUGUAAUAAGUUGAGG